GAUGAACGCUGGCGGCGUGCCUAAUACAUGCAAGUCGAGCGAACAGACGAGGAGCUUGCUCCUCUGACGUUAGCGGCGGACGGGUGAGUAACACGUGGAUAACCUACCUAUAAGACUGGGAUAACUUCGGGAAACCGGAGCUAAUACCGGAUAAUAUAUUGAACCGCAUGGUUCAAUAGUGAAAGACGGUUUUGCUGUCACUUAUAGAUGGAUCCGCGCCGCAUUAGCUAGUUGGUAAGGUAACGGCUUACCAAGGCAACGAUGCGUAGCCGACCUGAGAGGAGGAGCGGCAACACUGGGACUGAGCCACGAGCGAGAGACCGCCGGCAGGGACCAGUCGGCAAGCGUCCGGGAUGGUCGCAAACCUUACGGAGCAAUGCUGCGGGAGUGAUAAAGGUGUUCGGAUCUUAACACUCUGUGAUCGUGGCAAAACAAAUGGCCACGGAACACUGCACGCCAGCACGGUCCCUAAUCAGAAAGCCGCGCCUCGCUAAUUC
rnacentral:rRNA from 1 species